UUUUUAGAUAUAAUUCUGCAGAGAACAAAGAGAAGUCUGGAUUCAUCAUAGAAUUUGUAAAAGGCCCAAUAUCCUGAUGAAGUGGAGGGUGUUGUUAGAGAAGGGAUAAAGACAAAUUUUGAAUCGUUCAAAGCAAAGAAACGAAGAGACGAAACUGGUAAACAAGAAGAACAUAACAAGAAAAUGGCUGUGUACAGCAAGAUGAGAAGAAAAUUAAACAACAGAAAAAAGGCCCUAAAAGUAAAAGUCCAGUAUACCAGAGGAACAAAAAGAAAAGGGCUCGAAAAGCCUUGUGGUGCAGAACAUGUCUUAUGAACAAACAGAUUCAUAAGACGAAGGAUCGUUUAUCGUCAGACCUCUGCCUUGGAGGUCUGACGAUGUUGAUAAAUUAGUAAAAAAAACUAGACCAAAAACAUGAUGGUCAACUAACCAAGAGAAGGAGACGACAGCAACAUAAACGAAAGGUUGGGGCAGUUUCCUCAAGGAUAAAACCAGAAGUCGUGCCGGGACAUGAAUGGGUGUUUAAAUAGUUUAAAAAUAAUGUCAAUGAUUUAACUUUAUUCGUUUUAAGUAUACAAGUUUUACCGACCAAAGUAAAUGCUACAUGUAAUUGUUAAUAAUUUUUACACAAUUAUUUGUCCCAAACUAAAAAAACCUGAUAUAUCGUUCUAUUCUUAUAUUAACAUAUUUCAGUCAUCACGAAAUCAAAUAGAUGCGAACAGAAAGAGAAAAAAUACAUCUUCAUGUCGGAUGUCAACAUACCGUCUUCAACAACAACAAGCGGUUAGAAGGAGAAAGUUUUUGAUAAAAAAUAGUAAAGAAAAGUGCUUCUUGAAACAACAGUAUUGUCGUAAUGGGCAAAACUAUUUAAAAAUAACACGAACAAUGUACAUUUCAUUGGCAAAACAAAAUAUAAUAACUUUUUUGAUUUGUAACCUAGCAUCACGGAAAAUAAAUGUUAAAAAAAUAUUUUUUUAUAGAAUCUUCAUUUUUAGAUGGAAAAUCUUGUUUUCUUUAAAUAUGGAAGUGAUACCGAGAAAAUAAGCAGUGUAUUAUUUGCACAUAGUAGUAAAAAAAGAAAGAAGACAAAAUGGUAAUUCUUCGAAAUAGUAAGAAACUUGGUAUAUAUUAAAUUUCAAUGUUUUAAAUAUUCUUUUGUGCGUAAUUAUACAAUAUAAACAAGAAAAAGCUAGAUAGCAGUAAAUUUUAUCUGGUACCCUGAUGUAAGCAAUCAUACAAUGCACGUAUACAACAGUUGGUUUUACAUUUAAAAUUCUUGUUUUAGUGGUGAAGCUCUUCAUUGUGUAUUUGUUAUAUUAUAUUGAUGUCCAUGAGCAUAAUCAAAUAUAUAUUUUGAUAUUGAUUACACUGAUAAAACAUAUAGACAUUUAACUGGGAUCUUAUAUGUGAAUCUUUUUUUUUCAAUUGAUUAAAAACAGUAAGCAAUGAAAGGGAAACAACUCUUGUUAAAAUAGGAAUAUUUUUCGUAUCUUUAAAAAUUGAAGAAAUUUGUUUUUUUUUUUUAGCUUAAAGGUUUACACGUUUAUAAUUAUUAACAUUCUUAUACAAAAUAAGUAUUAAGAUCUUGAUUUUUUUAUUUUAAUAAGAAAGGGGUUGUAUAUAAUUGGGUGCUUGUUAAACCCUCCAAAUUACGUUGGAUUUUAUUAUUCAGCUCGAAUCUUUGUAUUCAAAGGGAAAUAACUCUUUCUAUUAAAAUAGUUGUUAGUCGUAAUUAGGUAAGACAAUCAAAACAACCACAACAAAAAGGAUUCUGCAAAUAUGUUACUGCUUAUUAUAUUUAAAUACUCAGUCCUUUUACAUCAUGAAGUUGAUAUGUUUUUGUUCCUUAAAAACAGCUUUAGCAAAAACAAACAAAAAUGCACAAAAUUAGAGUUUUAUAAUUUUGUUAUGUAUGUAGAUGUUUUUUUUAAAUUAUUAUAGAACGGAAUGUUAGUACUUUAAUUUGUCAUGUAUUUGUAAAUUGAAAAUAAUGAAUAAAUUUAGCUAAGAUUCUAGAUAA